rnacentral:misc_RNA from 1 species
AUCUCUGCAAUAUAGGAGAUUGAGGUAUGAAUGUCCCAGGUACCAAUGAAGGUCUGGUCAUCCUUCCAGACCUACCAAAAGGCCACAUGGAAAGCCAAGCUGAGAACCAGCAAUCUGUCAUACAGUCGACGCCCGCAGUCGUUCAGUUCAGCAAGAAUAGCGUGACUCUUCUGAGCAAGGCCAACAGUGUGAUUCAGAGCACCUGCUCGCCUGCGCUGCCGUCCAUUCAGGUGCUCGACAGUGAGCCCGUGCACGCCGAGGGCGAGGCGGCGCGCCGGCGGCGGGAAAUCCUGACGCGCCGCCCCUCCUACCGGAAAAUUCUCAGCGACCUUGGCGGCGCAGAGAUCUCCGAGGACAGGGGCGACGGAGACGCCGAGACACUCCCGAAGAGCGGCAUCGUCAAAGUGAUUCCGACCACCAUCCAGCUGCCCAUGGCCGACUCAGUGCAGACGCUGCAUCCUCUCGCCGUCAGCGUGGCCGGUGCCGGCGGCGGCAACACCGUCCUCCACUACACGCAGGCAGACGGACAGUUCUACGUGCCAGUGUCGCUGCCGACCGUGUCCGGUGGUCUGAAGCUGGACCAGACCAGCAACAUGGUUCUGACCACCGCCUCGCCAGCCGGCAGUGAUGUGAUCGAGGAGGUCACCCAUAAACGCGAGACUCGACUCUACAAGAACAGGGAGGCGGCGCGCGAGUGUCGUCGGAAGAAGAAGGAGUACAUCAAGUGUCUGGAGAGCCGGGUGGCCGUGCUGGAGAACCAGAACAAGGCACUCAUCGAGGAGCUCAAGUCGCUCAAGGAGCUCUACUGUCAGAAUGAGGCGCCGUGAGCGGCUGGGCGGGGACAGCGGCAGCCUGUGCUGCUGUCCGUGGACAGCGGCAGGCUGUGCUGCUGUCCGCCGGCAGUGGGCUGUGCUGCUGUCCGCCGGCAGUGAGCUGUGCGGCGGGUGCUGCCGUGCUGAUGGAUAUGGCCGGCCGGCGGCCGCGCACUGUACCUGAGCCGCGGAUGUCGGCACCUGAUGAGGGGUGGGGUGGGGGAGGGGGGCUAUCCUGGGGCUGGGGGUGCGCGGCGGCGUCCCAAUGCCCGUUCCGGCUGGCUCUGUGAGCCGUCGGCGGCGGUGUGGUACGCGUGUGGUAGUCGGCUGUGAGCUGUCAGCAGUCGGCCGCAGACGAGUCGGGCCGGCACGGCAGGACUGACCACCUGAGAGACACCUGCCAAGGCUUCAGUUCAUUGUCACCGCCGGUACCUUAGAAUGCCAUAGGUUUCAGCUUUGUUUAUAGCAGGCUGCCCAAACGGGUGCUCCAUCACUGCAGGGCCUGCAUUGCUUCUCCUGGCCAUACGUUUUAACUGCCACUGAGUGCAGGAGAUCUGCGUUGCUGGGGUUAUUGAUGUUGGAGGCUGGCGAGUGGCGACGCUGGUCAGAGUUCACCGUCUUAAUGGCAAUUCAUUUGUACAUACUGGACACGGGCAACACAUGCACGCAUGAACAUGUGACCUGAAUCGUAGCAUUUUGCAUAGUAGGGGUUGCGGACGACGCUGUGUGCUGCUCCAAAGGAGAGCGGCUGCUUUGGGUCCUGUGUACCGAGCGCCAUCCGAGCCCGCGCCGAGCGCCGCUCGCGCCAGUCGGUCGCUGCCAGCGAUGGGGGGGGGGGGGGGUUGGUCGCGCGCGUUCUGCGGCCCUUGUGUCGAAGACCGUGUAUUUCCAGCGCGCCUGACACUCUGGGGUUUGAAUACAGUUGACAAUACGA